rnacentral:rRNA from 1 species
UACAGAGGGGGCAAGCGUUGUUCGGAAUUACUGGGCGUAAAGGGCGCGUAGGCGGCCUUCUAAGUCGAACGUGAAAUCCCCGGGCUCAACCCGGGAACUGCGUCCGAUACUGGAAGGCUUGAAUCCGGGAGAGGGAUGCGGAAUUCCAGGUGUAGCGGUGAAAUUCGUAGAUAUUGGGAAGAACACCGGUGGCGAAGGCGGCGACCUGGUCCAUUACUGACGCUGAGGCGCGACAGCGUGGGGAGCAAACAGG